rnacentral:rRNA from 1 species
GACGAACGCUGGCGGCGUGCUUAACACAUGCAAGUCGAACGGAAAGGCCCUGCUUUUGUGGGGUGCUCGAGUGGCGAACGGGUGAGUAACACGUGAGUAACCUGCCCUUGACUUUGGGAUAACUUCAGGAAACUGGGGCUAAUACCGGAUAGGAGCUCCUGCUGCAUGGUGGGGGUUGGAAAGUUUCGGCGGUUGGGGAUGGACUCGCGGCUUAUCAGCUUGUUGGUGGGGUAGUGGCUUACCAAGGCUUUGACGGGUAGCCGGCCUGAGAGGGUGACCGGCCACCUUGGGACUGAGAUGCGGGCCAGACACCUACGGGAGGCAGCAGCGGGGAACAUUGCACGAUGGGCGGAAGCCUGAUGCAGCAACGCCGCGUGCGGGAUGAAGGCCUUCGGGUUGUAAACCGCUUUCGCCUGUGACGAAGCGUGAGAGACGGUAAUGGGUAAAGAAGCACCGGCUAACUACGUG